rnacentral:rRNA from 1 species
GACGAACGCUGGCGGCGUGCUUAACACAUGCAAGUCGAGCGGUAAGGCCCUUUCGGGGGUACGACGAGCGGCGAACGGGUGAGUAACACGUGGGUGACCUGCCCUCAGCUCUGGGAUAAGCCUGGGAAACCGGGUACUAAUACUGGAUAUGACUCCAUGACGCAUGUUGUGGGGUGGAAAGCCUUGUGCGGCUGAGGAUGGGCCCGCGGCCUAUCAGCUUGUUGGUGGGGUGAGGCCUACCAAGGCGACGACGGGUAGCCGGCCUGAGAGGGCGACCGGCCACACUGGGA